GCACUGCCCCUCUCAGGUGGGUGGUGGUACUUCAGGUGGCCCCUCGGCUCAGCACUGCCCCUCUCAGGCGGGUGGUGGUACUUCAGGUGGCCCCUCGGCUCAGCACUGCCCCUCUCAGGCGGGUGGUGGUACUUCAGGUGGCCCCUCGGCUCAGCACUGCCCCUCUCAGGCGGGUGGUGGUACUUCAGGUGGCCCCUCGGCUCAGCACUGCCCCUCUCAGGCGGGUGGUGGUACUUCAGGUGGCCCCUCGGCUCAGCACUGCCCCUCUCAGGCGGGUGGUGGUACUUCAGGUGGCCCCUCGGCUCAGCACUGCCCCUCUCAGGCGGGUGGUGGUACUUCAGGUGGCCCCUCGGCUCAGCACUGCCCCUCUCAGGCGGGUGGUGGUACUUCAGGUGGCCCCUCGGCUCAGCACUGCCCCUCUCAGGCGGGUGGUGGUACUUCAGGUGGCCCCUCGGCUCAGCACUGCCCCUCUCAGGCGGGUGGUGGUACUUCAGGUGGCCCCUCGGCUCAGCACUGCCCCUCUCAGGCGGGUGGUGGUACUUCAGGUACUUGAGUGUUUACAAGGCAAAGAUAAAUGGAUUUUUGAAUACUAAGGGAAAUGAUGGUUAAAUGAGGUUGGGUGUGAUGCCCCCAUUUGUUGACUAGUCGGUAGCCUAUUCCUCUGAAAAUUCCGUCAGUGAAUUUUAUUUCACAUCCCAAGUUUUUGGGCAGAGAAUUGUGAAUUCCGUCAGGGUGAAUUUCUGUUAGCGAACAGCCGUAACUCGGGGGUCGCCUGUACUCGGUGACCGAGCCCCCGGA